AAACCAUGAUGAGGGCAUUUCCUCAGAAGAUCUUUUAUCCUCUCAUAGGCUUCAAAGAGUGUUUCAGAAUCAUCUUGCUUGAAUGCAGAAAUCUCUUGUCUCAGUCU